ACCAUGUUGGCCAGGAUGGUCUCGAUCUCUUGACCUCAUGAUCUGCCCGCCUUGGCCUCCCAAAGUGCUGGGAUUGUAGGCAUGAGCCACCACGCCCGGCCCCAGUGUUGUUCUCUUUUCUCCACGUGGUUACAUACCUUUGCCUACUGUGUGUUGAUCACUGAUUCUCCAUCUCCAGACUCAUCCCUCAUUAACAUGGAACUUACUUCCUUUCCUAAACCAGACAUUGACAUGCUCCCCAAGUCCUGAAAUUUUGCCUUGUAAUAAUUUCUAAUAACUUCUUACUUUGACACCUCCAUUGCCAUCAUCUUAAUUCAUGGUUUUAUUAUUUCCUACCUGUAACAUUGUAAUAGUUUUUUAAUCAGUCUGAAGUCUCAUUCUUUUUUAUACGUACUCUCUUGACACCUUAAAAAAUAAAAUAAAAGGUGAAGGGGUACUCAUGUGCUCUCAUUGCCUUUGGUAUAAAUUCUAAUCUUUUUGCCAGAGCAACUGAUUUCACUAAUGAUCUGGGAGCUAGGCCUGGAGCUGGGAAGGGAGCUUUUUUUCUUUCUUUCUUUCUUUUUCUUCUAUGAUUAAUUAAAAUGAAACAAACAGGAGGUAGUUUUAACACCCAGUUCCUCUAUACUUUCUCAAGGCAUUUAAGGCCCUGGGCAAAUCCUACCUCUUCUAUGAUCUUCUGUUUUGUCACUUUUGCCACAAUAUAUCUCCACUGAAAUUGUAUACUUUUUAUCACCUUUUCUUGGCAUUUUCCAAGUCAUUUUAAUUUGCUGUUGUUGCGAUGAUGAUUGGUGAUGAUGAUGCUGGUGACGUGAAUCAGUGGAUUUACUGACACUGUAACCUUUGUGAAAUCAGGUGUAGGACACACAAAAGGCAUAAACACAUAGUUCCUGUCUUGCUUUUUCACGAGGCACUGAAUUAAUCAUGGAUUUAAAAAAAUAAAACUGCAGAUUAUAGUGAUAAAGGACAGGAAAAAUUUCAAAGAGGGAAGUUAAAAAGAGGGAGAAUAUGAGGUUAAAAAAAAAUUAACCAGAGGUAAAGUGGGAGGAUGAGGGUAGCAGGACUACUUUGUCCAGUUAAAUCAACUGAUUUGGGAUCUAGAUGGGAUCUAGAUUUAUAGGCUUUGCCUUUUUGUUUUGUUUUGUUUUUUUCUCUGCUCCCUUCUUUACUCUUCUCAUCUCAUCUCUUGUCUGGAAAGAUCCUCAUGACUUCCUAAAAGUUCAUAGUUUGAGAACAUUCUUCCUAAAUUUUCUUUGACCUUCUCUUUGGACAUUCUAGGUAACUCAAUUUGGGGGGUCAGUUUUAUUCUUCAGAUACACAUUCCCGUAGGAGGAAAAGUAAGGAAUGGGAGGGAAAUGCAAAUCUGGCAGAGUGAUAACAUGAACAGAUCAGGUCCAGUCCGGGCAAUUGCUGGUUUGAGCACUGAUACUAGUGCUCAGGGAUUGCUUGCAAGGACACAUGGAAUAUGGUAGACCCCAGGUGUUGCAUUAUGUGCACACCAAAAGUUUGCAGAGAGCUGGGAAUAAUUUCUUUUCAGACAGUGUGGUGAUGAAUGUCAAUCUGAAUAGGUAAGAAGCAGAGAUUUGUGCUGAGAUUGAGUCAUUCUCUUGGUAAAUGCACAGUGUUCACAAAGACAAGGUUUCAUCUUCAGACCAUGUGUGUAUAUGUCAGCUUGGUGCAGAGCAAGACAUUUUUCAACGCUGACCUUUGAUUUUUUUCUAGACAUCUUAUAGGUUGAUGUAGUUAUUUACAUGGGAAACAAUCAGAAUGGAAAUUUAACAUAUCUUUAGUUUAAAAUUAAUUUCAGCCUAUUCUAAAUAUCUUUGUAAGUGCUAGACACCCAGCCCCAUAGCAGUGGCCUAUUACUGAAGGAUUAGUGUUAUGACUUUUGCAUACAUGAAGACGGCACUCUUUAGGAUAUGAUAUAAACAAAAAAUAAAACAUGGCAAGAUUUUAACAAUGUAAUGUGAUGUGUAUUUCUAUAUAAUACCCAAAUGUACAAGAAGAAAAAUUGUAGUAAUCACUGGAUUUCCUGUACAUGGCUCUAACCAAUGCUUAAGAUUAGAAAAUAUCUAAUUAUUGCCUACAAUAUUUAAUCUCCAUUUCUGUCUGUAUAUCAGUGUGCUACUUCAACAUCAGUCUGUCAAAAGAGUCUAGGAAUUACUACUACAAGCAGAUAAUUGUGUGUUCAGGAAUCACAACAAAAGUAAGAACAAAUCAAGAAACAAAAGCUUUCUUAUUCUUUCAUCCAGGACAACAAUAAAUACACAUAAAGUCAAUAUUAGUGAAGUAGACAAGCCUCUUCUAUGCCAAUUAAUAGUACUUUCAACUGAUUCAUUUCUUAAAAGACAAUCAACAAAUUAUCAAUUUUUAUUAGAGUCUUUAUUAGAGACACAAGCUUAAACAAACAUAUUCUAUGGUACUUAACUCCAUAGUAUUUAAAGACUCAACAUUCAUUUCCUCUAAAAAUGAGUCAAGUGUCUAAAUGGAAAAUGCCACCCACUGAAACUUCAAUUUCUCCUAUAUAGGGCAUUUAUUAAAAAACUGUAAUUACAAUGCAAUGAUACUGAAGUAUAAAUGAUCAUCAUUCAUAUAUUUAAGAAAAUACUUUCAUCAAACUUGAGUAACUGCAAGAAAACCAUUCACCCUCCAAAACAGGGAUUUGCUAAUGCUGGAGUAGAAGGCAAAGAGCUGAGGGUAACUGAGAUAACACACUCGUAUGUCUUAGUAUAUGGACAGCUGGUAUAGCGAACUUGACAGAAAUCACUGAUAGACUAGAUGACACUCUCUGCAUUUUAAAUUAAAAUAAAAUUUGUCCUACGUUCAAGAAAAUAGCUUAGAAAAACGUAUAUAAAUAAAAAUGAUGCCAAGAGACAAUGUCAAAAUGACUAUAUUAUGUCAAUACAGUGUGGCCACUGUAUUUUAAACACAUUUACUUGAUGAAAAAUAUAAUAAUUUAUUGAUUAAAAGUAUUAAGCAUAAUAGAAAAUGAGACAGAAACCACUCCAAGCUGGGAAACAUCAUGGCAUUUGUAGUGAUAAAUAUUUUGAAAAUCUAACUCUAUGAAUUACAUGAUUUUGAGGUAAAUCAGUCUUCAUCCUUGAUACACAGUUUCCUCACCUAUAAAGUGUUGUAAGCAUUAAAAGUGAUAGUAUUUGUAAAAAUACUUUGAAACUAUGAGAGGAUCUGAGAAAUUGCAAAUUUUUUAUGUAAGUCCAUGAAAUCAGAGCACAUAACUCUUUAGUAUUAAACGUGAUUCCAGUGCUAUCUCUUCCUUUGAGACGCUGUGAAGAAAUAAAGGGAUAGCUUAAGGUUAGGAGGUAGAAGAAUAAACCCUUACAGGCCUUUGAAUUCUUUUAGCUUUCCGUUCUUUAUUUCAUGGAUUUUUCAGGCUUAUCCAGAGUCUACAGUCUGAAUAGUAAAUCCACGGCCUUGUGCUUUGCCAGGGAUUUCUUAUUGUAAAAAUAGCCUGAAGUGUUACCUGCCCUCAAUCUCAACUGUGUCAAUACCUACCAUUACCAGGAAAUCUCUGUAAAAGGCAGAGCUCACCUUUGUCUAUCCCUCCUUUAAUGGCAUCUAUGGGGUAGAAAACAUACUGAUCCCAUGAUCUGAUAUCAAGGAUGUCUUGGCUCAACUUUUAUGAAAAUAAAUAUUUAAUUAGAAUAUAUCAACAUUUAUGAGUUUUCCUUGAAGAUAAAUUUUGGAGGAAAAAAACUCCAUUAGGCCAAUUUAAUUCCCUGAGUAAUAUAUACAUUCCUGAGUAAUAUAUAUAUAUUCCCUAGUUAACUCCUUACCAGUUUUUCCAUUUAAAUUAUAGUUUUACUGAACUAAUGUUUAGCAGCAUCAUUUUCAUAUAAUUUUUACAAUAACUAUUAGAUCCAUUUUACCCAUGUCAAAUUCUGCUGAUUAUAGCUUAUGCUUCUGGGAAUUUUUCUUUGUGGUUAUUAUUUUUCUAAAUGUAAUUCUUCUUUUCAAACAAUACAGAUCUAAAUUUUCCAAAACCAUUUAAAUUCUUCUUUUUAGCCAGAAGCAUUUUCUGUGUUUAGUUUGGCUACCGCUAGUUUAGUUUUUUUUAAAAUUGGUUUUGUGUUUCAAUGCUACAAAAAAUAUAAUUUAUGUAAUUUUUCAUUUUUGUCAAACUUAUAUUAACCACUUUCAAUUGUGUAUUGUGUUGAAAUUUCUAUUAGUGACAUUAAUGUGGAGAUUGACAACUAUUUUAGCUAGAUUCAUUUAAAAAUUUUAAGACACUUGAUUAUUAUUUAGCUAGCCAAUGGAAACUUCAGAAACACUUUUAAGACAGUCUAGAAAUAUGAUGUUUUAAUUCUCAUUCAUUUGUUUGGUAUUCCUCUUAUUAGCUUUCUCACUUAGUGCCAACUUCUUAUUCAUUAUUGGAGCAAAAAGUAAACAGAAGAAUCAAUGUGAUAAAUUUAAAAUCUUCUCAGUGUAAAAUGGUGUACGGGGAACGUGUCAAAUCAUCAUACUUUGGUCUGUGUGCAUUUAGGAAAAAUAAAAGCAAUUAGCAUUGCACAUACAGAUGUAAUUGAAUCUCUUCAGAUUUAUCUAGCUUUAUCUGUAACCACUUUGUGACAUAUAACAUAUACCCUUUUUGUAACUUGCAUUUUUCAAAAAAUGUGACCUUGUUUUGUCGGAAGACAAAACUAUUGGAUAUGCUGUUUUUCUUUCUCUCCACAUCUUUUUUCAGUGGGGCAAAUUAUAAAUUCUCUUCAUAAUUUACUCCAAAGAUCAAGAUUAUGUCCCCUGGACAGCCCCACUCCCACCUGUAUAGCCCUUGCUCCUCAGCCCCUUUCACACCUGCACAAGUGUUCUUCUGUUGUGAUGAUCCUUUGAAUAAUCCUCUUGGAGUUCUCUUUACUGGGCUCUCUUGCAGCAACUGGUGAGGUCAUGUAGGCUGUCACUGGGUCUCUGCUUAUGUGCCAGUGCCUACAGGUCCACGGUAAUUGUUUGCUGAAUAAAUGGAUGGUCUGUCAGCUUCACCCAACUCUGUAUGUAGAAGACACUUAAUGAUUCUUAAAAACAGUUUUAAUUCCUUUCUUUUAUUGUUGUUUAUAGGAGUUAUUUACGGUAAAAUUUUCUACAUAAUAGAAAAUUUGGAAAAUGUCAAGAAAUAGAAGGAAAAAGAAAUUCUUUAGAGUUCCUGCUAACAUUUUGUUUUUCUUCCUCUAAAUUUCAUAUUCCAUUUUUUCUAAGUAAACCAUGAUUAUUCUAGACAAUUUGAAAAAUAUAGAAAUGAAUAAAUAGAGAAAUAAGAAUUUCAGAUUUCCAGUUCUCAAGAUGAAACUUUCUGAGUAUUUCAUUUAACUAGGACAACUAGAUGUAUUCAGUUAUUUAUUAACUUAUUAUUUCAUUUGAUAAACAACUAUUUUGUGAGUAUUUCCAUGUACUGUGGGCUGAGGAUAACAUAUUCUAUGAAGCUGGUAUUCUCUUAGUAUCAGUGGCCUCUUGGAGAUGAUCUUAAAUCUUUCAAAAUCUUCAUCAGCACCCCAAAGCUUCCUCUUCAACAUAGUAAUAUACCUUGCUACAGAUUAUUGGCAUUACCAAUGUUUUAUAAAUUACAAAUUUAAAAGUCAUGAUUUUAAGAGCUACAUAAAAUAUAUUAAAAAUUACAUUCUUACAAGACUACCUCCAGGUCCCUGUUAAAACCAGAUAUUCCCUGCAGACUUUUAAGUUAUAGAAGUUUCAGUGUUGUCACUGAGUUGUGCAGAUUAUUAUGAGAUAUUCAGUAAAUAAAGUUGGUAGAUGUUUAGAGGUACUAGGCAAUAGUCCUAUUUUGUUUGUUUUGUUAUUUAUUCUGAUAAUAAAAUGCUUGUUUGGAGAGAAAAGUUAAAACAGAGAAAUACACAGCACACAAACAAACUCUUAGCUUUUUUUUUUUUUUUUUUUUUUUUUUUUGGUAAUCUUUCAGUAAUUUUCCAAGAUCACCAGCUAAUAGCAAAUGAGAGUUGUAGGGGUGGGGUGGGGUCUUUAUCUGGGUCUAUCUGAUUCUAGGUCUAUUCUUUUUCCAGUGAGUUAGCCAAUCUUCUUAGUGCUCAGCUUAAUAACCAGAAAUUUAAGAUGUGACUGCAUGAUGAUGGGCAAACACAGCAGGACUGACAGGUAGCUGGUGGUUUCUCGGAGUUUGUUCAUAUAACAUAUGCAUGUAAGUUCAACCACCUGAUUUAGCUACUUACAUGAACCAUUGUGCACCUAGUUGCUUCUAUAUCUUUAGCAAGAUCAAAUUCACAUAUGAUUGUAUGACUUUUAUAAAAAGCAAAAAAGACGUCUUUGAUUAAUUUGGCUUCACAAUGAAUGCUGAUGCCACACAAAUAAUGCAAAAAGUGAUGUGUUACAAUCAUCCUGAAAAGGAGGCUAACAAAGGGCAGGACUGAGUCUGUCUUGAGGUGAGUGAUUCGAUGGAAAGAAUGGAUUUUCCCCCACCCAACUCAUUUUUGAUAUUACAUAAAGUGAAAACCAUUAAAUAAUUCACCUAAGUAUCUACUUUUUUUUGUUUUGUUAUUGAAGUGCAAGGGAAGUAACUUGACCUUUGUUAAACACUUUGAUCAUGGAAAACACAUAAGGUUCUCAUCUUAUUCCAGGAAGUGUAGACACUAGAUAAUCUUUUCAUAGUCAUCCAAGAAGCAUAUUAAAUGAACCAGGUAAACCCAUCCUACACUUUUGUAUUCCAGAGACAAGUUGGCUAAACUUUGGAGAGAGUAAAAAAAAAAAAAAAAAGUUUUGCUUGGUUAAUAUGAUAAAUGUGGACUUCCAAUCAGAUAAUUUAGGCCAAAUAUUCUAGUUCGACUUCUUAGACUUAUAUUUCCAGAUAGUCUGGUUUAUAAAAUGUUAACUUAUGCUUACUAAACUCUAUGCAUUUCUACUUUUCAAUGACCCGUUUUUAUUUUCUGAAUUUACUUAUUGAUGCUUUAAGUAUGAUAAAAAUAUAUGAUGGCUAAGAAAACAUAAAUGAAGAAUAAGACAUCAGCUGAGACUUUUGACUGAAAGGAGGUGGUGAUAUGAAGGACACAGAUAAGUCAAAGAAAAAGGAAAAGGUCAGCGAGCUGAUAAAAGUAACUUGAAGAAAUGUUAGUGCAGAUAUUGGAUUCAGACGGCCUCUACUUUUAAGGUACUUAAAGAAACCAGUCUUUGAAAUCUUGCCUUAAUUCCAUUCUGAGAUUUCCAAUCAUCAAAAGUCAGUGAAAAUUACUUCCAAAGCCUCAGUUUCCUCAUCUGGAGAAUGGAAAUGAUAGCAAGAGAUAAUCGCAUGAGAUGAUCCCCUGCCAAGCUAAAAAACUGUUCAACUGUUCUAAGUGCUGAUACAGUGGUAAAUAAAGCAGAAAGUUUGUCUACUUUUAUAAAACUUACUUCCUAGUGUGAGAGAUAACAAGAAAACAAACAGCGAAUUGAGAUAACUUCAGUUAUAGAUAAAUACUGUGAAGAUAAUUAAGUAGUAUCAUAUGGCAGAGACAGGCCAGGGCCAGAUUCAGGGGUAAAUGCACCUUGACAGAGUGAUCAAGGAAGACCUUUAUGAAGAAGAGUCAUUGAGCUAAGUGUUGGCUGUCAAAAAUAUGGGGAUCCAGGUGAGGGGGGCUGGCAGAAGAAAAGGUUCUGUGGCGAAAAACAAAACAAAACAAAACAAAUUGUUGGGUUCAAGGCACAGAAAGGUCAGGCACCUGCAGUAUGAUGAGUAAGAACCAAGCAGGUUGUGGUGAAGCUAGAAAGAUAAGCAGAAGGCAGGUCCCCUAGGGCCUCAAUGGAAAUGGAAAGAACUCGAAUUUUACCUGAAGUGUAAUGGGAAGAAGCCAUUUUAAAUUCUUAAGUACAGAAUAACCUAAUCUUCUUUCUGUGUUGAAGAGAUCACUUUGACUGCCAUGAAGAGACUAGAUUGGAAGUAAGGCAGAGCCUGGAACCAGUUAUGAGGAGGCUGAAUGAGGAUGGAGAAAGGGGAUGGUGAUUUGGACUGAGCCUUGGCAGCGCAGGAGGAAAGAAAGGAAAGUUUGACAUGGAAUUAAGAGAAGUGGCUGCAUGGAAAGUACAGACAUUUUAGAGAAUGACUUUUUUUGUUGUUGUUUUUGUUUUUGUUUUUCCGUGAGCACUGGAAUGGGAAAGAGUCACAUUAGCGGGUCAGCAAUCCAGAGUUCUGUUUGGCCUGUUAUUGAUGUCUGAUUUUCAUUAGCCAGUAGAGAUAUCAAUAAAUCCAUUGGCGAUAAGAGGCUGAGGCUCAUUCAGUAGGUCUUAACUGGCAAUAUAAAUAUAGGAGUCAUUGCAUUCAGAUGUAACUUAAAGCUAAAGGGCUGCAUGUGACCGUGUAAAUAAACAUGUAGAGAAGAGCAGAUGGCUGGUUUCUGAGCCUUGGGAAACUUCCUAUUUGGAAGGGACACAAGGAGGAUCUAGAAAAAGAGAGAGAAGAGGCAGCCAGUGAAAAAAAGUAGAACUAUACUUUGCUUUGAAUGUUGAAAAAGGGAUUGGCAUAUAGUGAGAAUUCAGUAAAAUCCACAUAAAAAUCUGAACUUCUAUCUCCUCUUGAAACGUUGAUAGUGAACAUGCUAUUGGCAAAUAUCUCUAUUACACAAGCAAUUAUUAAGGAAUUUAUAAUAAUAUUUGGAAGAAUCAAAUGUCUUUACCCGAUGUAUUUGUUGCUAGCUUAACUAUUAGACAAAGAAAGAGAUACAACUUAACAUAUUUUGUUUUAAUAAAAACUGCAGAAUAUAUUGAGAGACUAAUCAAUUAGAAAUUUAACUGAAAAUUUCAUGCAAAGGUAAUAUUCUGUUGGAUAAUUUCAUGACUUAUGUUUGGUUUGAUACAUAUUUUAAAAUACUGUUUAAGCCAAUACUUGAAUAGAUUGGGAUGGUGUGUGUGUGUGUGUGUGUGUGUGUGUGUGUGUGUGAACUGGUUACAUAACUGGUUUAGUCUUAAAUUGAACUUAAACCUUCCAUUUCUUUAAGAAAUUUAAAAAAUAGCUAUCAAUUUGGCAGAUAUUAGGUAGAAUCUAAUAUCCAUGAAAAUUAAACCACAUAUAAAUAGAGAUAAAUCCUUUUGUGGGUGUAUGUAUAUCUGUGUGUGUGUAAUUUUGAUUUCAGGCUUGGCAGGUUUCCUUAAAACAUUUUUUUAGAGCUACUUAAUUUUGUACUUACUGGUAGUUAGCUAAUAAGAGGAAGUUAGCUAACAAAAAAUAGUACUUACUCUGUGCCAGGCACUUCUUUUUUUUAUUAUUAUUAUACUUUAAGUUCUGGGGUCCAUGUGCAGAACCUGCAGGUUUGUUACGUAGUUACACAUGUGCCAUGGCGGUUUGCUUCAUGCAUCAGCCCGUCAUCUACAUGAGAUACUCUUCCUAAUGCUAUCCCUUCCCAAUUCCCCCCACCGCCUGCUACUCCUCCCCUAGCCCCCCAACCCCCGGGAAACUCCUGGCAUGUGAUGUUUCCCUCCCUGUGUCCAUGUGUUCUCAUUGUUCAACUCUCACUUAUGAGUGAGAACAAGCAGGUGUUCGGUUUUCUGUUCUUGUAUUAGUUUGCUGAGAAUGAUGGUUUCCAGCCUCAUCCAUGUCCAGACACUUCUGUUAACAUUUUAUCAAUGUUAUCUCAUUUAACAAGCACGUAUCAUUAUAUAGUCUGGCUUAUACUUGUCUUUAAUAUAAGCAAAUUUGUUAAUUUGUGUUUCCCAAUAUUUAUUAUAAAAUUGACUGGUUGUCAUAUCCUAAAAGGGAAUAUUUAAAUUUAAUUUUCCUUGUUCUAAUUUCAAAUACAGUACUAAGAUUGAAAAAGAAGGUGUCAGGCAAGGGAAGUAAUGCUGAGUGCCUCUCAUAUGCCUGGUACUCCAUAUGAUGCUUCAACGCACACCAUGCUAUUCAGCCUUAAAUUUAUUUCUACAUUCUGUUUCUAGUUCUACAGAUUAUUAAACAAAUGUACAAUCUUUGGUCACUAGCCUUACUAAGGAAAACAGAAAUAUGGUUAAAACAAAAGAAUAAGUAAUCUAAAUAUUAUCUAUCGAUAUUUGUUUUAUAUUGUGAUAGUUUGCUUAAGUUGAAAAAAUGGGCACCUGAGGUGUUUUGGCAGUUUACUGUGAUCUCAAUAGUGAGAAUGUAUGGAAAAAGCUCAGUACAGGAGAGAGUUGUGUAGCUAUGUCUUCCUGUGGCUGCUUAAUUUUCACGUAGAUAUAAAGCUGCAGUUUAAGCACACCUGCCUAAUCCUAGUUUAAAAGACUGGGAGGGAAUUAGAAGGGGAGGGAGGGAGAGAAAGGGAAGGGGGAAUAGCUUGAGAGCAAUCUUGCCCAUUUAAUACAAACAGUAUGUGUGUGAAAAACAGAUAAGCGUGCAUGUAGGCACUAUCUUUGUGAAAUCAAAAACAUAAUUUACUCCUAAUGCUGAAAAAUCUAGUUGUGUGUAAGCAGCAGGGAGAUAUUAAAAUAAAUUUCUAAUAAAAGGUAGUAAAAGUCUAGCAAACCUAAGUAAUCCAUUUUCAGAUGUUAGUCCAAAUUAUGUAAACAAUAUUACCCUUUUUUUUUUUUUGGUCCUUUGUUUCAAAGAUUACAUGUGAAUGAAAGAAAUAGCAUUCCAUCUAGGUAAAAGAGUAAUUAGCAUCAUUGAAAUGUCAAUAGCUGUGAUUCCUCCUUGCUGAAUGGCAACUUUAGAACAGAGGGAACCCAGGAGUCCAUCUAGAGGUUCAAGAAAUAAGAGGUUCUCACCCAGAGGAAGAUGAAAAAUAAUUUCAGGGUAAGCCACGAAGAAAAUCACCAAAGCCUUUGAAAUAAAAUAUUUUUCCUUUUCUAUGAAUAAAAUGUAGUGUUAUGUCAAGGGCAGCUAGAUGGUGUGGCUGAAAGAACUAUUGGGAAUGGCUAUUGGGAGAUCAAAGGCAAGUGGAACCUCAAAGUUCUGGAAGUGGAACAAGUCAGAUACAAUAUAAGAAGAACUUCAAAGACAGGAAAAUAAGAAUAAUAAAAAUACCUUUAGUUGUCAAAUAUAAAAUUUGUGCCAAUUUUGUCACAUUCUAUUUUUCAGAAACACUGUAAAGUUAAAGGUAUUUUCUAUUAAUACCAAUUUAACUAUACGUAAUCUUCCCAUCUUAAUUAGUCAAUUUUCAAGAAAGUGUGUGUUAGGCUCAAAGUAUCCAAAAGGACUUUUUUGUUAGUCUUAAUAGAAUGCAUUCUCUUAAAUUAAAUUUUAAUUUUAAUUUCUAAGUAUAAGGUGGUUAUAGAAAUUGAAUGUAAAAUCACUUCAUUAAGUGUAAUAAAAUGAAAUAAUAUGAGGAGUUGUUAUAUUAUUAAAAUAUUUAGAAAACUAUAAAGGAGUAUGGAAAUUCUGUUACCGCUACUAUGAUUAGUGUCUCAUUUGGUUUUUCACUUUAAGAAUUGAAAUAAAAGUUGAAGUCUUGAUAUUAAAAUUAAGAAAUGAUUCACAAAUUACUUUAUAAAUUGAAAUAUUGAAAUAUAGAAUGUUCAACCACUGUUAAUGUGAAUUCCUAUUUUGUAGUUAAUUUAUUCUAUAAACAUCUGUAUUUGCUAAAGAGCAACAGACCAGGGAAAAGUAAAUCAGUGCCACCCAUAAAGCCAUGAUUUUGUGGAAUCAUUGUUCCAGUUUAUGUCUUAGUGUAUGAAAGAAAAUACUUCCAAUGGAUCUAUCUUUUUGCUAAAGAGUACCCUUUACAUUUCAAAACAUAUAAACAUUUACAUAAAGGUGUUUGUGAAAAAAGAAAUUAUGUGCCUUUUAUUUUAAUUCAUCCAUUAUUCCAUUCCACAUGUAAAGUAGAAAAUAUUACUUUAAGACAAAGUAAAGCACUAUUUAUUUUAAAUUGUAUUUCGUUCAUGAGUUUUAUCAGAAGUAACACUUCUUAAUAUUAUCAGAAGUAACAUUUCUUAAUGUUAUUCAGUGUCAUAACUUGCCUUUUCUCUAGGCCUCCAUUUUAUGAAUUGAACAUCUGGAUUUGAUGGGCAAGAAAACAUUUCCUUCCGCUAGCUUUUCCAAUAACUCCCUCUUACAGAUAUGCAUGCUUCAUGUUGGUUAAUAAAAUUGACAUAAUUUUAAUAUCUGGUAUUUUAACACACAGUGAAUUAUGGAAUUUUCAGUGGCUUUAUUUAAUUAAAUGCAUUUUAAAUUCCUUACAAAAACAGUGUUAGGAGCAACUCUAAAAAGUAUUAGAGCCACAGAUGUUUUCCUUUAUAGUGUUAAUGGAUUUAAGGCCCAUCAAAAUGCUGUUAAAAUGUCUAGAGGUUAACAAUAAUAAUGGCACAUGGGUCAGAUUAAAAUUCUUUUUGAGUAAAAUAAAUAAACAAAUGAUAGCUUAUGUUCCUCUGAUUAAAUAAUUUAGCUAGUGGAUUGAAACAGCAAUGUGAUAGCUAAGAUUUCAUUCUCUCACUUUAUAAUAAAACAACAUUUAAAACUAUGGAUUACAUGGUACACCAAACAUUUACAUGCACAGAUUACAAGUACUAGUUUUGUUUUUAGUGAAGGGAAGACAUUUUCUCUUUUUAUCUGUUGUCUUAUUUUACAAUUGAAGUAAUUAAUCUGCUAAGCUCUUUAACCAAUAAAAUAUAGUGUGUAACAAGCAAAUUUGGCCUCUCCCUCCCCUUAAAUGCAGUUCCACUGCUCCUUGCUCCAUUUUAAGCCUGCUAUCCUUCAUAAGAGAAUAAUAUGCUUUGUAAUUUAAGAAAUCAUGCAGAGGAGAGUUUCUCAAAAUUCACCUUAAUAUGUAAUAAUAAUAAUAAAUAUGUAUAACAAUAGUAUCUUGGAGAGUAAAUUUUUAAAAUAUUUUAUAGAAAAGAUGAGUAUUAAAAUGAAAAGUUUAAACAUCAAUUUUUUUCUAUGUUAAAAUUACUAAAAUUGAACUACAGACUCAUGAAUACUUAGGGCAACUUUUAUCUCAGGAAAUAUAUCAAUAGUCUGAAAGUGUCAAAUCAAUUCAAUUAAAUCAGUAACAACACUUCCCUGUUUAUGUGGCUGUUUUUUCUUCUAUAUUUAUAGUCUUAGAUUGCACGGAUACAAUCAAAAUAAUUUAAUUUGUAUACGGGAUAUAAAAGGACCAGAGAAUGUGUCUUCCCAUUAAAUAAUAAAAAAUAAGAAUACCUUUUAUUUUAUGAUGUUCUUUACUGUUUACUGAGAGCCAAGUAUUGAGCUGUUUUUUUUUUAAUUAGCUGACGUUUCCUGCUUUUAUUUGAGUUACAAUUUCUGUAGAAAAUGUUUACAAAAGUGAAAACAUUUUUAAAAAGAGAAAAGGAAUUUGGAAAUUUGUAGACUACUAUAAUGUAAAGCAGCAUUAGUUAUACAACAAUUAAUUUAGAGAAGCAAAAGACCUUAGAAAUAAUCUAUUUCAACCCAUCUAUUUACGAAUGUGAAAACUGAAAGUCUUAGAUAUUUAGUGACUUGUCCUUUGUUAUACCAACAAUGAGAGAACUUGGUCUAGAAUUCCUCCAGUAUAUUAUGAGGUAUUUGUCCUUUGACGUGAUGCAAUGGAAUGAAUAUUGGAUUAGGCAUUUCGGGACAAAUUUUGAAUCCUAACUCUAUUACUAAUUCCUUUUCACUAGACUGAGAUUCUGAUAUGUGGUAUUCAAUAAGUUAUUUGAUUUCUUUAAGCCUUGCUUUUUUUUCAGUGAGAUUUAGAGCUUAAACUAGUUUCUGAAUCUUAGCCCUGUGGACAAUAUGGCUGGAGAACUGAGAUGUCCUGUGCAUAGUAGGAUGUUUAGCAGCACUCCUGCCUCUGCACACUGGACACAGCAGCACAUAUCCCAACCCUACUCUGACAGUGACAACCAAAAAUGUCUUCAGGCAUUGCCAAAUGUCAACUGAGGGCAAAAUUGCCUACCUUUGCCACCUUAACUGAAAACUAUGAGCUUAGUUGAAAUAACUUCUUUAUGGCUCCCAGCAGUAGCAAUGUGCUAUUCUAGACCACUUGGUUAAACUACUGGAUGCUUCACCAAAAAGCACCCACUAAGCAUUAUUCACCUUGAAGUUUGUUGGGUAUGCUAUACAGUGACCAAAGGAGACAUUAUAUAAUUUUUAAAAACUUAAAAGAUUCAGAGGUGAGGAUUUUAUAGUAGUAACGAAGUAUUAACCAUUAUAAAAGUUUAAGAAGGUUUAACAAAAUGAUAUAAAAAUAUAUUCACUAUAAGUAGGAUGUAAUUUUUGUCCUGUAAGACUUAUCUAUAUAUUUAUGAAUUGAAUCUGCCAGAGGUUACAACAGUUUGGUCAUUAUUUCAAAGAUUAAUAGAGACUCAUUUCCAAUCAUAGGUGUUCACUAUACUAUUCUAAGACAUUUGCAACUGUGUAAGGCAGUCAUUUCCAGUAAGAAUGGCUAGAACAAACAUUAAGGCUUUCAUAGUGAGAAGGGUCACGGAUAUAGUUUCAUCCCUUGCAUAAAGAAGAAAAAGCCAUCUAUUAGCCUCAGUUUUUAACCUAAAAGGUAUUGUUGCUUCCCUUUCUUUCUCUCUCCCACUCAAUUUUUUUGCCCCGUGGAAGACAAGGGCCCAAUACAGGGAUAGCACACUGUGCAUGAGCUAUGAAGGUACAAAUGGAAGCUUGCCUGGCAAUCAAUGCCAGACCAGACAGCUAGCCUGAUGAAUUCUGCUACACAUCACAGGGCUCCUUUUUUUUUUUUUUUUUUUUUUGGUCAUAUAUUACUGCAAGUUCCCUGAGGAAGUUUACUGAUCUGUGGUUUUACGAGAAAUGCACGUCAUGGAGGUGGCAUGGGGGAGCGGGCGAACAAGGAAAGUUUAGUUUCUAUAAAAUGGGAGUUGAGAGCUCAGGCAGGUUGGUUAUGUUCUGCCAGAUGGAGAUAAAAUUGUGGCAGCCACAUCCUGUGACUAGAAAUUGUUUAAGUAGGCAGAUCUGUUGGAGGACUAAAGAACAUUAGGUAAGGAGAUUAAAUUAGAGCAGGAAAAAAUCAGUUUUGUUUAAAACAAAACAUCUACUUGGGUUACUAGAACAUUCUAACUCUACCAUAGGAUGGAAUCAAGAGGGUUUUUUGUUUAUAUAUAUAUAUAUAUAUAUAUAUAUAUAUAAUGUAUGUAUUCCUAUUUAGAUUAAAUAUUAUGGUUUACCUUUUCUAGUAAAGCAAAGUUUGUUCUGAAAUCUAAAAUAUCACUUACUAGAGCAGGAAAAAUUAGCUGUGCAUUUAUGCUAUUCCCAGUAUAGAUAAUUAAUCUUUAAGAAAGUAGAUUUUUCUGUUUACCUGUUGAUUGAAGUGUUAAUGGAGACAAGAGCUUUUUGUGUUACUGAAUAUUAUUGUCAGAUUACUGGUGCUUUCCAUUUUGUUUCUUUAAAGAAAUCCAACUUUUGUAAGCCACACUAUUUUCUGUUUCUAUUGGAUUCAUACAAUGAAGAUUUUAUGUCUCUCUAAGCUAAGAUAAAGGAUGUCAAGAAUAAACCAUUUUCUCAUUUUAAAUAAAAAUACAUUCAUUAUACAUACUUAUCUGAAAUCUCAAACAUAUCUGAAUUAAGUAUACUCAGUUUUGUGAGUGAUAAAUCAAUUAUUAUUUAAAACAAAAAGAAAAAACAAUGUUUUCAUUUUACCUCUCUUGCUGCUUCUGGGCUCUGACUGAGUCCGGAAGCAAAAGUUGCAAAACAUCAUGAGAAAACUUUUGCUCUUUUUUUUUUUCCCUUCAAUCUCCUCCCAAAUGGAAAUACCAGAAAUAUGAAAGCCUGUUCUUGCGAAAUAGUCAUCUCAGGAUUGUAUUUCUACUGUAGGUCUUCGAUGAUGCUUUACAACUGGCCUCUUUCCAUUCACAGUUGCUGUUUAUCUUUAAAUGUCCCUACUUGUCUCCUGAAUAAACACAAACACAUUUUUUAAGGUAUCUUGUUGACAUUGACUUCCUUCAUAGCCCAUGAAAAAAAUCCAUUGGGAGCAUCUCUUCAAUAGACAAAAAUAGUAUAAUUAUGAUUCAAUAUUCAAUGAAUAUGUGUUAAACUAAACUGUGCUCAAGCUCUGUGCAAGAGUACAGGUUUUUCACCUUUCCAGGGAAGAGGUGUGGAGUACAUAUAUAUUUCAGCCAUCCUGCAUGCCCGCAGGGACACCCUUUGGGUCCGUCUCAUUGGAUUACCCUUCCAUAUUUGCUUUUUAGUUUCUUUCUGCUUUAAGCACCUUUCAGAGAGAGAGAGAGAGAGAGAGAGAGAGAGAGAGAGAGAGAGAUGUUUUCCUUUGCCUUUGUAUAUGCCAUGCCUAAUGUUACAGAGUAGCCUUUAAAUACAUAUUUGUCGAAUUAAUAAUAACACAUAUGAAUGAAUGAGGCUCCAUAAUUCUGUGGAUAAUCUGGUAUCAUGGGAAUAUUUUAGCAUGUUUUAUAUAGAUAGACUGAUACUAUGACUGGCAAUCUGAUAGUAAAAAUGCAAAAUAUUGAGCUUAAGUAUUAUUUUAUUAUGUUGCCUUCUUAUAUAAAGGCGGAAUAAAAUAAGGCAGUGUGGACUGUAAUUGUGCUCAUGAAAGAGACACAAUGUAGAAAUACUUUACUUCCUUGAGACAGAAUGAUAUGGAUAACCUAGAAUGUUUGCCAUGACUUAUUAAUCUCUACUAUAUAAUAAAAAUAUUUCUUGUGAAGUGGUAACUUCAGUGAAAUCUUUUGUCUGCCCUUUUACAGACUUAAGUAACAAGUUUUCUAUGCUUGUUCUGUCCUUUUCUCUCCUCACCCCUAAAAAGUGGUUAGGGUUUUGGCAUUUGUUACUCAGAAUACUAAAUGUAACACAUAUGUGGCAAGACUUGAUGAAAUUGCACCUCUAUUCUUAUUAUGUUCUUUUCUGGAAAACUAUGACAAUUCGUGACCCCUUAGAAAGAGUAGCACAGUUUUCUGGUUGCUCCUCAUUAUAAUUGGAAAAGAAAAAAAACCCAGCUAUCUCUUCCUUUCAGAGUAAAAUUCUUUAGAAAAAGAGUAUUUUCAUCAAAUCAUUUGAGAAUGUUAAGUUGAAUAACGUUACAGUACUACCCUACAAACAUGUGGAGCAAGUGUCUGCAUUUCUGUGGCAUUCUGCCUUUGCAGUGCUAAGGAAAAUAACUUUCUUUCCAGAAAAGAUUUUUCAAAAUAGUAUUUAAAAAAUAUCUUAAUGAUGAAUUUGAAGUUGAGAACCAACUUAUUUCAAGGAAAAUAAAAAUUUCGGAAGAUAUGAGAGUAUACUUUUUUAAGGUUAGAACUCAGAGGCCAUUAUGAAAAUUAAUGGGCCAGUGGAGACACCUGGUCCCUAAAAAGGAGGCAUUAGCUUCUUCAUGUUUUGAUUUCUGCCUUGCUCUCUUGUCUGUCACCAUUAGACACAUACUAUUUUAUAGUAAUUAUUUGUAAAUUUUACGGAAAAGGCAGCUGUGUUUUCUACAAAUAUUUCACAAAUGUUAGUGUUGCUCUAUGCCAGGGAACAGAAGACAAAUUGGUAGAAAAGCCACAUUUGGCCCCUCCCCAGGUGGGACUUCUUGUGUAGGGCCCAUUCAGUGGAGGCGCUCCACUGCAGAGGGACGGAGGGGGCCAGUGCUCAUUCUGAGUACACAAUAGUUCGGACUGUCUGAGGAAAUCGACAGUGUGUGUUUAAUGACCAAACCAGCAUGGCUUUGAGGAAUAUUUUUCUUAAUAUUUCUGUAGGAAUAGUUUUCUCUUUUUAGUUUUCAAAUAAAGAUAUUUUAAUUUUUCUUGAAAAUACAUAUUAUUAUACAGAAAUCAUUGUCCAAAUAUAUAAUCAUUUUUUAAGAUAGUGUCCUAGACCUGAAAUUUCUGUUUUAAAAAAUGAAAACAUUUUCAGUCUCUUCAUAGAUAUUGACAAGUGGCUUUCAGAAAAAUUGUUUCGUCUAUUCCCCUCCUAACAUUGCAUGAAUUUCCUUUCACAUGCUUUUGUCAGAGUUUAAUUUUAUCAUUUUAAAUGUGUUACUUUUAUUAUAAAAGCUGGCAUUUCUUAAAUUUACCAUUUUGUGAUAUUUAAUUUUUGCUGUGUUGGGUUUUUUUCAUAUGCUUAUUAUUUGCAUUUCCUUUUGUGAAUUGUGUUCCUAUGGUUUGCACAUCAAUCUUUUUUUGCAGCUGUGUUUAAAUUUUGAUAUAAGGUUACAUGAAAGAGGAAUAUACAUGUAUAACUUACCUACAUAUACACACACACAUAGUGUGUGUGUGUGUGUGUGUGUGUGUGUGUGUAUUCUGUGUUGAAAUAAAUGAUAAAGCAGGACAAUGGGUAGAGGUUAUGAUGUCAUCUGUGACACGGUCUAGAGCAGAAACCAUGUGUGCAUCCAUCAACUUAGCUUUUCAAAAGAAUCUUAACUAUUAGUUUCUGGAAUAUUCAGAGGAGAACUGGAAGGCCAACAUGGACCCCAGUUUCCAUCCUCCCAAGAAGACGUCCCAUUAUGAAACCUAAGUAACUUUGACAGCAAGCCUUUGAGCCUUAUCAUCUUCGUUCGAGAAUCUACCCCCCAGCACAGAGAUUCAAAAUGCACUAUAUUCUUGCACUGGUGUUCUUCACGUUUUGCUUCACCCCAAAACUGCCACUCCUAACCACAAGCCUACCUGCUAACUUUCACACCAGGCUUUUGAGAACAGUAUUUUCAAUAAGCUCUCUUUUUCAAUUCUUUUCAUAAUGGAGCUGAAGCAUCUUUGAGUUGAGAGAAUCUUAGAAGUGACUAGGGGCAAUUAUAUAUAGAUUCCUUUUACCACACACACGCACCGAUUAUUUUCUAAAGACUAUGUUAAAAAAAAGAAAAGCCUAAUUUAGUGUUGGACUGCUCAAAUAUUUUGAAAUUUGUGAUUUCAAAAUCCUAACAUUAUUAUUGAAACCGAUGUUUCUCAUGCCUUUUAGUCUCUGGACUCCUUUUUAAACAUUCCGAAACAUAAACUAUAUUUUUAGCUCUAAUUGUGAAAUAUAUAGAGCUUUUCUCUAUGUGGGAUACACAUAUUUAUUAUAAAAUAAAUUAGAAUUUAAAAAUAUUUAUUCAUUUAAUAAUAAUAAACAUAUUAAUAUAAAUAGCACUUAUUGUAUAAAAACAAUGAGAUAUUACAAAACAAAGAUUUAAUAGGAAUAGUGGCACUUUUUGCAUUUUUACAAAUCUUUUAAAUGUCUGAAUGACAGCUGGAUUCUCAUAUAUGUUUUUAUAUUCUCUGUUAUAAUAUAUACCAUAUGGUUUCUGGAAACAUUAAUUUUCUACUAAUAAGAGAAUGAGAGAGAAAAAGAAAAAUAACUUCUUAGUACUAUUAGGUAAAUAAUAAUAUUUAUAAUGCUUAGUCAGUACUUAUUUUGACCUUGAAGAAUCUUUAAAAUGUUCAUGGGGACUAUCUUGAAAUUCCAGAAAACACUGAGAACCACUGAUAUGCCAACAGAUAAAAUUCUUACCCUUACAGCAGCAUAGAAUAAGACUAUACCUUCUUAUAAUAAUAUUUCAAGUAUUUGAAUGUAUUUAUCAUAUUUUUAUCUAUACUAUUUCUUCCUAGAAUAAAAUAGCCUUCUUUAAGUUUUCCAUAUCUGGAAUGUUAUCUUGUCCCCUGCCACUUUCUACCUCCUGGUUAGCAUCCUCUGAAUACUCUUGAAUUUAAAUUUCAUUAAUAAUGUGUGAUAUUCUGCACUGACACAACAUUUCAGAGACCUGGUACCUUGAAUCAACAAACAUGUGUCUUCCGAAAGACUGUGAUUAAGAAGCCUCCAUGUCCAACUUGUCAGCCAAUUUUUAUAUUGUACAAACCAGCAAUCUCAGAGUCAACCUAACCAGAUUUAGGCAAUGCACCUCCAUGAUGUAUUGGCUAUUGUAUUAUAGUGAUAUCAAUAAAAAUAAUCAUUAAGAUAAAUGGAUAAUGUUCAGCACUUCAUGUGUGCUAGAUGCUAUAUUUAAUGCAUGCAUUUAUUUGCUCAUCCAAUUCCUACAAUGAUUUCAUGAUGCAUAUGUAUUACUUAUUCCUAUUUAAUAGAUAAAGAAUCUGAGACAUGGAAAAUGUUGGCAAUUUAUUUGAAAUUACCAAGCUAAUAAGAGGCAGAGCCAAGGUUUGAUUCUGAACAACUUGAUUCUAGGGUCAUUUUGGCUAGGAAUUUUCUGAGAGUUGAGAGUUUUGUGUGUGUGUGCAUGUGUGUGUGUGUGUGUGUGUGUGCAUGCACGCUUGUGUGUGUGUGUAUAAAUAUGAUAACAUAUUAAUGUAUACAUAAAUGUCAAUAUAUAUUUUAAACUGAAUGUCUUAAUAGAGUGGCUUAUAUGAUAGAAAUAAGAGAAAUCAAAGAGGAUGGGAAGAGAGAAAAAAGAGAAACGUAAUUAGGGAUAUUGAAAAAACUAAAAUGUAGUUCUCUCCGUAUUGUGGAUACUGCUGCCUUUUACCCCACUUUCCACACAUUGAUCAGUAUUCCUUUCUCCUUCCCUAAAAUAGUUUUACAGACACUAUAGAUACCCUUAGUUAUUUGACACUUACGUUUCCGUUUUUUUAACAUGUCAGCUUCGAUAACUGUCACACUUAAAUGUUUUCAUAGGAAUCAUGAAAACUAUAGUUUUUCCUUGAAUGUAAGGAUCUCACAUCACGCUUUCAUUCUGAACUCACCAUUCCCUUUCUGCAGCUGAUGUAAUUGUGCCAUGUGACCAUUGUACACGUGUGGAAGGGAGGAGCUGAAUUACACCUGACCCCUGGCCAGAGCAAGAACUACUGGCCAAGGGGGAGACGGAGCAUCUGUGUUCUACUUCCAACGUCUCUGCACCUAGGAAGUGCAAUAGACUUCUGAUGAGUCUAUGCUUACCCCACUGAUGAAUAAAGACAAUCUCCCAACACAAUUGCACUGCAGGAAAGAUUGAACUUGUGACUACUUCUUCUGUGUAAUUUUGAAUUUCUUAGACCCGAACCCUGCUGAGUACAUCUGCUUCCCUCUAUUCCUUGCUGAAUUUCAUUCUUUUCAGGGCAUUAAUAGAGCCAAACCAAGCUGGUAGUGGUAACAGUUUGAAUAAUAAUGGUCUUUACCUUUUAUCUUUUUAAAAAUAGAAUUCUCAGGAGCACUUUUAGCUAUAAGAUUCCUUCAUCCAUUUAAAUAAGCUUUCAACUUCAUGGAAAGUGAAAAAGGGCACAGGUUGGUUUGUGGAAAUAGGAGGAAGAAAUCUUGAGCCCGAAUACUUUGAAGUACUGGCAGCUUCUGGAAGUAGUUGAAGGAGACUUCAGUUAGAAGCUUGGUCUAAUGGACAGAGUCCUGACCUGGACAUUGGAGACCUGUAGCCACCCUCUGAAUCCACAGCUGACCUUGUGGCCGUGAUACAUAAUAUUGAUUGCAAGGCAGUUUUGUGAUGGUUAAGAUUGCACGUUUUCCUAACUAGAUUUGUGGAAUUUAAAUCUCAACUCUGGCACAUACUGAAUUUCCCUGGGAAAAGUGAUUAACCUCUUUGUGCCUCAGUUGCCUCAUCUUUAAAUGAAGAUAAUUUGAUUGCAUACCUCCCAGGUAUUAAAGAAUAAAUAAUUGGAAAAUACAAAUUAUUGAGUAUAUGCUGGUAAUUGUUUUCAUUGUUACGCUAUUAUUAUUUUUCUUAUUUAUGUAUGACAUCAUGUCACCUACCUAACAACAGGGAAUUGAGACAAAAGCAAAAUAUGAUUUUCUAUAUUAUUAAUCAUAAUAAGUGCUUCCAAUGUUUCCUAACUAUAAUUUUUUUAACCCUACACUUUAUGGGGGUGAUGAAAAUGAGAAAUAUUAUUAUUUAAGACAGCGUUUGCUAUAAUUUUCAUAUAUCGAUAUAAGUUUAUAUGUUCUCAGAAAAUUGGUCUUUGGAUAAUUGAGGUCAGUGUGAGUUUUUAUUCUGUUUCCGGAAGACAAUGUCUGUGGCUGGCUGUGGGAAAUGGGGAACAGACCAUCUUCCCAUGUUUCAGAGGGACCCGUAUAAAAAUGGGAAAAGAUUUGUUUUAAAUAGCUUUGGGAUGUGAAUUAAUUGCGAAGUGUUUUAGCAGCAAACAAAAUUGUUUGGGUAGUAAGAAGAGGUUUAAAGAUGCUGUGUGGGAGAAAACGAAGUCCCUACCUAUCUUUGUGAGCACGUCUCAGAGGACAUGAUGUGUUCCUGUAAGUUGAUAACAAUCUUACUGUGCCCUAGUGCAGACACUGCUUCCUACUUCCCCGUAGAAAACAGAACCGUUUUUAAAAAUUGGUUUUCAACUAAUAUUUUUAAUAGUCAUGCUACUUGAUGACAAAAUCAGAUAUCGUGGCCUUUAGUACUACAUAGUGAAUGCUUUUUGAAAGUUGGGAAAACUCUAACCCCAAUAUACCGGGAACUGCUCUCUUCUUCAUCUCGGAUGUCUGCUUCUUCCUCAGACCUGUGUGUGUGUGAAGCUCUAGAAUAGGCUGUUUGGGAAGAAUACAACAUCUCCUCUCCGAGGCCCCUUAUAACCCUGAUAGCUGCUAGAUUUGAAAUCAAGGAUUUAUUCUCCCCCUGCCUUGGGCCUCUCCCUUAUGGCCUCAUAGGCUCUAGCAUUGGAAGGAAUAUUUUAAAAGCUCUUUCUUUUGACUUUGUGAUACUCCAAUAUUAAAAAUGACUUAUGACAAGAAGAAGAAAAAAUGCUAUAUUCUUCCCCUUAAGGUUAAUGUUCUGGGGGACUAUCAUAAAAAUCCAGAUCUCCUAAUCUGGAGAGUUACUCUUUGGAUCUGAAUGGGAUUGGAGCCAGUAAAAGGGGUGGAGGGUGUUUCUGGAACAUCCCUGCAGCCUUUUAAAGCAAUUUAAUCAAUCAGUUAAAUAUCGUAUUUAAAAAGUACAUUUUAUUAUUUAUUAUGAUUUUGAUUAAUGUAUUGUCAUCAAAGUUGUCAAAGUCAAGAAGUCAUUAUUGGGACCUGCGGGUAAGGCAGGAGCCAAGUGAGAAUAAGCAGACAGCAAAGAUUGUGGAAAAGCAGAACAGCCAGGUCCCCCAGGCAUACAUACAGAGACAUUUUGCAAUGGCGGCUCCCUGUGGCUGUCUGCCCCAGACUUCCACCUUGAGGUAAUUGGGGUAACUAUAACGAUAUCUUCAUCCUGAUCUCUUCAUGCAGUUAUAUGUUUCCAAAAACAGAUAAACUAUGGACUUAGUACAUGUGCCCCUUUUCCUUGGAUUCUCACCAUCUGGCUGGUAAACGUGACAGAAACGUUCAAGUAGGUUCAAUGUGGUACAUGGUAACAAAUGCUGUAGUGCAGACUAGGGGAGCGUGUCUGGCAACGCGUUGGCAAAGAAAUUCUAUUGGCACAUUCAGGAUGAAAUGAGAAUGUGGGAAAAUAGAACGUGAUUCUCUCCCCAGUCCUCGAAAGACAAACCAAGUGUAUGUACUGUUUAUACUAUGUUAUUAGUGUAUCUUUACCUAUAAAUGGCAGGUCAUUUUCAUUCAAUAUGCUCAAAUACUCACAUUAAAAGAGGUAGACACUUUGGGAGGCCAGGGUGGGAGGAUCACUUGAACCUAAGAGUCCAAGACCAGCGUGGGGAACAUGGCAAAAUCCCAUCUCUACAAAAAAUACAAAAAUUAGCUGGUGUGUGCCUGUGGUCCCAGCUACUUGGGAGGCUGAGUGAAAAUACUGUUUGCUUUGAAGAAAUGGAGGCUACAGUGAGCUGUGAUCACACCACUGCACUCCAGCUCUCUGGCCUGGGCAAAGAGCCAGACCCUGUUUCAAAAAAAAUUUUUUUAAAGAUUUAGGGAGCAUGUGGACAUCUAUUCAUAGAGGGUUGAACGAUAGAAUUAGACAGCCAUGUGUAUGUCUGGAAUGUCCACACGUGUAGGAAGGAGAAGGUGUGUUUUUUCCACACAUGUAGGAAGGAGAAGGUAGGAACAAUGAAAAUAUUCUUUUAGUGAUCACAGUGGCUCCAAAAGAGAUGCUAUGGUAUGUGUAAUACUCGUCUAUCUUAUAAAGAAAGUAAGGAAAUAAUAAAAGCAUUUGCUAACCAUGUCUAGAUGCUACAGUAAACAUAAAAGUAAAGGGUCUGUUAAUCUGUUAACUGACCUUAAGAUAUGAGGUGAUAAAACAGCAGCCUUCAAAUAUGCAGAUGGCUAUAACAGAGAUCAUGAUGAACAGAUUUUUAUUCUGGCUUAGAAAGACCAGAUCCAGAUAUUAAAGGCAUAACUUUACAAGCAAAGCAAUCUUACUAUAACACUCCUUUCAAGGUAGACUGUGAAUAUUUCCACCAAGAAUAUAUAUUUUUAAAAGUAGAUUCAUUUUCAUUUGUCUUUUUAAGUUAAAUAUAAUCUUGCUUGAAUGAGGAGGAGUAUAAGAUACCUCAAUAAGGACUUUGUAGAUCACCGAAUCAGCCAGCUUUGUAUUCAGCUAUCAAACAAAAUAAAAUGUGAUCACUAGUGGUUCAAAUACAUUGGAAUUCUACAACUAAAGAUCUAAAAGAAUAAAAUCCAUGGCUAGUACAGAAACAUAAUAAUGCCAUAAGCAAACGAUGACAGUUUCCUGUUUCUUUUUUUGCCACCCCAUUUGAUAGGCUUUGGUCCUCAUUCUUGGCAUCUCCUAUCUCAUUUGGGAUGCGAUGCGUUCACACCUUCCAUCCACAUUCCAGCAAAAGAAAGGGAAGGCAAAGUGGUAAUACAUUUUUCCUAGUGAGGUUAUACCUCUUUAUUCAGGGAUGGAAACCCUCCCCAGAAGCUUUUGUUGACACUUAUUGGCCAGAAAUGUAACAUAUGACCACCCGUUGCUGUCAGAGGUGGGGAGAAGUCCCUGAGAAAGAAAUUAUUCUUCUUUUCUAGCCUCUAUUAUAGCAUUUAACAAGGAAGAAUGGGAUUAUGAAUAGCUUUGGAAUGUUUAUCAUGUCUUCUCAUUGCCAUAGCUGAUAGUCAUUUUAUGUGAUUGAAUCUAUAUCAGGCCUUUUUAUCUGACAAGUUUCCCAAUGUACAAAGAUGAAAAAAUUGUCAACUUGCCUCAGAUGGGAAUAAAGAAUGUCAAUUUGUCUGGCCAAGUGAGUUUGGAAAGCUAAGAUUUAGCCUUGGGUGCAUUAUUGAUGGGCAAUAAAGAAGUCGGUGGCAUUCAUCCAUUCAUUCACUCAUUCUACCUGUGCUAUUGAACACCUGCAAAGCAUAGAGCUAGAUGCUAGGUAGAAUAUAGAAAAGAAAGUCACAGUCUCUUCCUUGAAAACAUAUUUGUUUUAUUUAUAGGACAAGACAUCUAUACAUAUACAGACUGUCAAUUCGUAACAUGUCAUAGAAAUACAAAAGCAGAUAUCAAUGAAAGUGGAAUGUUUAGAGAAAUUUCCAUGCAGUUGAUAGAAUUUAAAUCCUAUAAUUUCAAUAGGUGGUAGCUGUGUCUCAGGCAUUCUAGGCAGUGCAUAGCAAGAGAAAAGAUGGUAAUAAAGAUAAAGACUGGAAAGAAGUAGGCAAUUGGUCACAUUUCUGCAAAGUAAGAGAGGAAAUUUAGAAAAUCGCAUGUGUUAGCUUGUAUACACACCUUAGCUUACAAUGUUAGCUUGUAGCUAACUGAAUACAGAUGUGAGAGUUAAAAUAAACUCUUCUAACAGUAGAACAAUUAUUAUUAGAGUGGCAGGGAUGAUCUUACAGAAAUAAAUAUUGGACAGCUAACAAAAAUAGGGAAAGCCAGCCAUAUGGCUAUCUGGGGGAGGAGCAUUCCAGCUACUCAAAUCCAAAGUGGUAUGGUGAGAUGUAUUUUUUUUAAAUUUUUAUUUUAGAAACAGGGUCUCGCUGUGUUGCCCAGGCUGAUUUCAAACUGCUGAGCUCCUGUGAUCCUCCUGCCUCAGCCCCCUGAGUGUAGUCAUGUGCCAUCAUGCCCAGCUAGGUUUUAUAGAAACAUAAGCACAGAGUAACACAGUAGCAAAAAAAUAACGUCACCUAAAUUAGGGUUUCGAAGACAAUAUAGGAGUUAGGUAGAUAAAGAAGAGAGCAAAGGGCAUAACAUAAAGAAACAACGUAUUAAAAUGUCUGUGUUAUGAACUUGCAUACAAACUUAGUGCUUUAAUUUGGCCAAGCACCUUUCAUACCACUAGAAGGAAUCAACAGUAUUAGACAGAGUAAGAGGGCCUGAGAACUUGCAUAAACACCCUUGGUACAUGGAAAGUAAAUAUAAAAUGGUGCCGAUAAUUCUGAUUCCCUAGUUUAUAGAAAAGAUACAUGAUCAAGCUUAAAGUGAGAAUGAGUGAUAAAGAAUUACGUAGGUUCUGUAUAAGGAAAGGUAAUUUCAGAUUCCCAAAAGGAUAUACAGCUGAAUGUUUUAGCCUUUCAGAGUUGGGGAAUCCAUUUCUUUCCAUGGAAGAAUUAGUCUUCAGGUGAAUAGAGAUGUAUUGAAGGGAAAUUAAGAGAGCAUAACAAAACCCCACUUUACCCACUAUCUAUCCGUGGAAGCUGCAGCAAAACCAUCUGAGAGCUAUGGUACAAUUAAGUUGAAGAUACUUGCACAAAUAAAGUAUGUGUAAUGUAACAUACAGGAUCAAACAUUUGAAAUUGAUGAUAUUGGGUCAUUGCUGACCAACAAAAUAAAUGAUUUUAUGUGAAUCAGUCUAAUGGAAGUAGUUUCAAAGGAGUGACUUCUUUGCAAAUAAGAUGGUUGAAAUAGAACCCAAAACUAGCACAUUGGGCAAAAAAUUACGAAGAAACAUGGAAGUGGCUGCAUAGUAACCACAAAAAUGAACACACUUAUUUUCAGAGUUCAAACCACGGUAGAUUUGAGCGUGUGUUUGGAAAUGACUAACACUUACUGUUGUUUUACCCUGUCACCACGUUCCUGCGUUAGGCUCCUUAUCUCUGACUGGUCAUGCUCACAUCAUUGUCUGCCAGCCUUUCCAGUGCCUGCAGGCAACCACCUGCACCCAACGUCCUCCUUUUAUGCUCUCGCCUCCUUUUGUGUACUGUGUGGUCCACCAUUCUACCUAAUCUGCCUCAUACUCACAAAACUACUUGCUUCUUUUGAAAAAAAUGCGUUAUUAGAUUUAAAUAUAGAUUUUUAAAAAACAUUUCCCUUCAUUUUUUAAAGUUUUCACUUUAUUUUUAUACUAUGUUUUAAGCUUCCCUAAUAUCCCACUGCUGAGUCCCGUAGACAUGGAAUCCACAGCAUGGUGACUCCCUGACUUGGCCAUGCCUACCAGAAGCAGAGCCACAAUCUAAUCCAGACCUUCCGUCAGCCACUCCCAGACCCCUUCUCUCCCCCAAGCAAAUGAAGAACAUAUUUUUUGUGUAAAGAGAUACAAUUGGGAAAUUCUUAAAAAUCAAGUUUUACUUUAACUGAAUAGCUUAUUUGGUCCUGGGGCUGUAAAGUCAGCGGAAUGAUGGGGUCAUUUUUUUUUUUUUUCUCAAAAUGCAGCAUCUUCCUACUCACUUCGUUUAUUACUCUCUUCAUUCUGAAAAUCACAUUUGUGAAAGGGAAUGAAAUCAGGUUUACUUUGGCAUCACCCAAAGGACCUUAGUAA